GACGAACGCUGGCGGCGUGCCUAAUACAUGCAAGUCGAACGCAGUGGGGACGGGUGAGUAACACGUGGGUAACCUCCCAUCAGAGGGGAUAACACUUGGAAACAGGUGCUAAGCCGAUACUGCUGGCUGAACCCGCGGUGCAUUGGCUAGUUGGUGAGGUAACGGCUCACCAAGGCCACGAUGCAUAGACGACCUUAUAGGAUGAGCGUCCACACUGGGACUGAGACACGGCCCAGACUCCUACGGGAGGCAGCAGUAGUGAAUCUUCGGCAAUGGGCGAAAGUCUGACCGAGCAACGCCGCGUGAGUGAAGAAGGUUUUCGGAUCGUAAAGCUCUGUUGUUAGAGAAGCGGUAUCUAACCAGAAAGCCACGGCUAACUACGUGCCAGCAGCCGCGGUAAUUC
rnacentral:rRNA from 1 species